AAAUGAAUAGACGGGGACCCGCACAAGCAGCGGAGCAUGUGGUUUAAUUCGAAGAUACGCGAAGAACCUUACCAAGGCUUGACAUCCCCUGACCGAUAUAGAGAUAUGUCUUUCCAGCAAUGGACAGGGAGACAGGUGGUGCAUGGUUGUCGUCAGCUCGUGUCGUGAGAUGUUCGGUUAAGUCCGGCAACGAGCGCAACCCUUAUGAUAUGUUGCCCUUAUUAAGUUAGGCACUCAUAUCAGACUGCCGUGGAUAACACGGAGGAAGGCGGGGAUGACGUCAAAUCAUCAUGCCCCUUACGUCUUGGGCUACACACGUGCUACAAUGGACGCCACAAAGAGCAGCCAACCGGUAACGGCGAGCGAAUCUCAAAAAAGCGUUCUCAGUUCAGAUUGUGGGCUGCAACCCGCCCACAUGAAGGAGGAGUUGCUAGUAAUCCCGAAUCAGAAUGUCGGGGUGAAUGCGUUCCCGGGUCUUGUACACACCGCCCGU
rnacentral:rRNA from 1 species